rnacentral:rRNA from 1 species
CAAUAGCGUAUAUUAAAGUUGUUGCGGUUAAAAAGCUCGUAGUUGGAUUUCUGCUGAGAACGACCGGUCCGCCCUCUGGGUGUGUAUCUGGCUCUUUCUUGGCAUCUUCUUGGUGAACGUUGCUGCACUUGACUGUGUGGAGCGCUACCCAGGACUUUUACUUUGAGGAAAUUAGAGUGUUUCAAGCAGGCAUACGCCUUGAAUACAUUAGCAUGGAAUAAUAAGAUAGGACCUCGGUUCUAUUUUGUUGGUUUCUAGAGCUGAGGUAAUGAUUAAUAGGGAUAGUUGGGGGCAUUCGUAUUUAACUGUCGGAGGUGAAAUUCUUGGAUUUGUUAAAGACGGACUACUGCGAAAGCAUUUGCCAAGGAUGUUUUCAUUG